rnacentral:rRNA from 1 species
GAGUUUGAUCUUGGCUCAGAUUGAACGCUGGCGGCAGGCCUAACACAUGCAAGUCGAGCGGAUGACGGGAGCUUGCUCCUUGAUUCAGCGGCGGACGGGUGAGUAAUGCCUAGGAAUCUGCCUGGUAGUGGGGGACAACGUUUCGAAAGGAACGCUAAUACCGCAUACGUCCUACGGGAGAAAGCAGGGGACCUUCGGGCCUUGCGCUAUCAGAUGAGCCUAGGUCGGAUUAGCUAGUUGGUGGGGUAAUGGCUCACCAAGGCGACGAUCCGUAACUGGUCUGAGAGGAUGAUCAGUCACACUGGAACUGAGACACGGUCCAGACUCCUACGGGAGGCAGCAGUGGGGAAUAUUGGACAAUGGGCGAAAGCCUGAUCCAGCCAUGCCGCGUGUGUGAAGAAGGUCUUCGGAUUGUAAAGCACUUUAAGUUGGAGGAAGGGCAGUAAGUUAAUACCUUGCUGUUUUGACGUUGCCGACAGAAUAAGCACCGGCUAACUCUGUGCCAGCCG